CUGCAAGGCGGGGGGUGGCAGGGAGGCCCUAGCGCCUGCCGAUUGCCUUCUUGUCGGUUUUCCACCCCUGUCACCUGCCCGCCACCUGA
rnacentral:antisense_RNA from 1 species